rnacentral:rRNA from 1 species
CCGUACCCAUCAGAGGGGGAUAACACUUGGAAACAGGUGCUAAUACCGCAUAACAGUUUAUGCCGCAUGGCAUAAGAGUGAAAGGCGCUUUCGGGUGUCGCUGAUGGAUGGACCCGCGGUGCAUUAGCUAGUUGGUGAGGUAACGGCUCACCAAGGCCACGAUGCAUAGCCGACCUGAGAGGGUGAUCAGCCACACUGGAACUGAGACACGGUCCAG